AUGUGUGUAUAUGUAUAUAUAUUCUUGCAUGCCUCCACAUUUACAUGCUGACCAACAGAAGGGUCUGGAUAAACUAUUACAUUUUCAGGAGAAACUUUACAGGGUAUAACUAUAAAAGUGUUAGCGUUGGGAUUUUAUUUGUCGCUUAUUUAAAGUAGUGCAGAGUCUUACAGGGAAACAACGCUGCUGUGAUUUCACUCCCGAACACAAUGUUGUCAUCCGGUUUAGGUUAAAAUCAAUGGAUCUACUGGCAGCAUCGGGAAGUAUUCAACGCUGUUAAAGGGGACAAAGCAGAAAAAUAAAAACUAUUCUUGCCAGUGACAGACUUUAAAUACAAAAGGUUGUGCUAAAAAAAAGAAAAGGACAAGAAAGUGAUGACCUAUCACCUGGGUAGUGAUAAGAAAUAAAGUCCACAAUAGUUCCAGUGAUUGGAUAUCAAUCUGUGAUUAUUGAAGAAAAAUCAGUCUGUGAUUAUUGAAAAAAAAUCAGAAGUGUGAUAGCGGCUUCCAAUGGAAACACUUGUGUUGUGUCCAGACCUCCACAAGGAUCAAACACAGGGCUUACCAGAUAAAAUUGACCACCCACUACAGAUAGGUCAAUUUAAGCAUGUAGUAUAGCGGUAUCCUAUGAUCCUCAAUGGUGAUGGCAAUACCACAGCACACCUCAAUAAUCAAUGCUUUGCAGUAUAUAUGUUUAAAAACGGACAGAGAGACCUUGCAUAGCUUAACUUUGUAUAUAAAAGGUUUAUCGAAUAGAGACAUGGUAACGCUCACAUAUCCUCCAUGUAUAAAGCUCUUUUUGGUAUAUAUAAACAGGAUAGCUUCCCAGUCUCUUCCAGCACCGACGUCACAACAGUUUCCCCCUACGCGUUUCGUCAAACCUGACAUCAUAUGGGGCAUGGAUGCCAUGCUGGACCGUCACUCAGAUAUAGGAAGCGGGGAAGCCAAGCCUCGAUUUGAUUCCUAUUACACUCCCAAUCUUACAGGCUAGUAUGCAUCACGUGGUUUCCAGUAUGGACCUCGUAUCUACAUACAGAGUAUAAAUAAGCCCAACAGACUUGUUUUACUUAUCGGUAUUGCAUUGAGUGCAUCGCAUAUAAGCCAUCCGUAAAAAUUACAGCUUUAUAAAAAAAAAUGACAAAAAUGAAUAUGACGAUAUCCAUUACUCCUAAAAUUUGGAUGUCAUAAAUUUUAACUUAGUGACAGACUGCCUUGUAUAAAGUAUAUAAUUCUUUAUUUUAUUUGCAGUUUUAUUUUAUCGGCUCUAUUUUUACCUGGUUAGACCUCAUGCACAUGGGGCAUCAAAAAGCACCUCUUUGAAUGUCAUCACCGCUGGCAGGAAAAUGUGGCUCACAAAUCGCACUAAAAGCCAUGCAUUGCGCACGCUUUUAGUUGCUUUUUGCAUUUUACCAUAACUGCAUUCUACUGGUCAGAAAAUGUAUUCUGGUCGGUAAAAUCGAUUAACGGGGAUACGCUUUACACAUCCAGCGGUUAUGUGCGUUUAGGCGUAUUUAUAAAAACAAAUUCUGCUUUUAAGUUCCUCUCAAAAACACACCUGGUGUUUUUUUCUGCGUGUAAAUCCUCCCCUUACAGUACGCCUGUAAAUGCCUAUUUGUGCUUGGGCGCAUAGGCUUGUAUAGAGGUGCUUUUAACAAGGCUGUCUGUAUAGGCAGCGUUUUUUUUUAUUCAGUGUGCUUGAGGUCUUAAACUGGGUGCCUACACCUAAAAUAAGUCACUUUCUUAAAAUUAGUGGCUGUAUGAUGCGUCUUAAUGCAUCAGGCUUUGUGAGUGUUGGGUCAUGACUGAAGUGUGUCAUUAAAAAGCCCUAAGAUUUUUUUUUUUUGUGUCACUCCAGCCUUCAUUGACCUGGUCAAUCACUAUAGGAGGUUGGUCUGGCAGCAGAAUAUAUUCCUUCAGUCUUGGAUUAGUGGACACAAAACAAUUUUUUUAUGGCUUGUAUUAGAACCCAGCAUGUGUCUAUUACUUUCAGCGCAGGGUAGAGAGCAGACCCUUGCACAUGGGAUAGCUGUAAGUUUUGAAAUCACAUGGGUUUGGUUGCAAUAUCAACCACUAUUGAUGAUAGAUCUCCUCUAGUGUAUGAGCUACUUGAUGAUGUUCCUUUUUUGCAAAUCCUAACUACUUCUGUAGUUCUACAUUAUAUACUGUAAAAGAUUCUCCAGUCCAUAAGUGGUAUAAUUAAUGCAACUGAAUGCUAUGAUGAGCCAAGCACCAAAUGUUGCCUUUUGUGUUACUGUAUUUAUAAUUCAUAGUGGAGCCUCUUCUGCAUUUAAAAAAAUGUAUGUUGGAGCAUUGGAAAUUCUAUUGUCCAAAAAUCCCAACAGAUUGCUACUAAUUGGCUUUAGGAGGGGAGGAACAAUUACCCUCCUCUAAUUUUGUUUGUUUCCAGAAUGCACAUCCAUUUUUAAUGUGUGUUUUUAUUCGGUUGGUUUUGCAAUUUAAACAUUUCAAUUUUACAUGAGUAUAGGCUCUGUAUAUUUUCUGAUUCUAUUUGAGGCAGAGAAAAAAAUAUUUGCGCAGAUAAUAAGUAAUAUACGUUGUGUUCAACCAAAAGGCUAGAAGUCCUCCAACACGUAUUGUAGCCAGUUGGUUUCUAUGGCAAUGACGUAACUUUUUUGUGCAGUUUUAAAUAGAUGUGAAACCUAAGAGAUCUGGUCUCCAGGGAUACAUGUCUUUCUGAUGUUCAAGCUGAAUUGUGUUGCAAAUUGAAUAUGAUCUUUUUUUUUUUUCAAGUGAUACGUGUGUUCAGUCCAUAGAGAUACAUGUUGAUACAUGCUGUUUGUUAUUCCUGGAGUCACUCAAUAAAUUGAUUGUUCAUGGUCGAUUUAUAUGGCAUAGUGAGGCAUGCUGGAUAAAGGAUGAUGCAUUUUCCCUUUUUUGGUUUCCCUGCCCUACCUGCCCUACAGUUCCUUACCCCAAGCCAAGGGGGUAACUUGUAUGAAACAAUUAUAAUCCAAAAUCCCCAAUUACAUAAAACUGAGAUCAUGCGACAAGCAAGGUCCCAGAUCUCCUGACUUUGGUCUGUAUUGGGGGAGGGGGGGUGUUUGAUCUUACACUGCCCAAGUUACUUUCUGUUGACAUGGGCACUGCCCAUUGUCUGUUGGAAGAGUGCAUUACAGGGUCCUCCACAGAGUGCCGAAGCCUUCAGGAGGGACAUCAUGUGAGAGGUGGAUACCAGACUGGUCAGCUGGAUCAGAAAAGACAACGUAGAGUUGCUUCAACCACCUGUGACUACUACCUUAAGAGGUGCCAUGGGGAAAUCGCAUGACAGAAACCAAACAAAUUCAACUUCAAUGUUUGCUUCCUAAGAUUUACCAUUGUACCAAUUCCCAGAGUUGACAUGCAGACAAUAUCCUAUGCUGUGGAUUUGAUAAUUGUACACUGGUGUCUUGCUGGAAACAAAGGUAUAGCUCAUUAAAGUUUUUAUACACGUACCUUGGAAUCUUGUCAGAAAAAAAAGACUACUUUUUGCCUGAAUGAACCACUAUGGUCUGUACACAUCUAAGUUGUUCAGUGAAUGUGCACUGUGCACCCUGCUCUGCAUGGUGGAAACCCUUCAUCAUGUGGACAAGUAAAAAGAAACAGCAUCAUUGAAAUGAUAAUGAAUUUCUAUGUACAAAAUGGAUACUGGGUGAGGGAUGCAAAUUUUACAUUGUCACAUCUUUGGCUCUACCCCAAACUAGCUGAGAGGUGCACUUACAGGUUGCAGGGUUUGCUAGUCUCUGCCAAAUCCCACAGUGUGAGCUGUGUCAAAUCGUAUUGGUUCAGGGUCUUGACUGAAAGUGGUGUACAGAAAUGCGUAUUUAAAAGCAUAAAGCCUAUUAGAAAAAAAAAUGGAAAAAUUUUGCUUUUUAAGCGUAAAUUUAAUUGGAACUGAUACAAUGAAAAGGCAAAAAAAAAACUUGCCAAAUAACAUUUGCCGCUCCCCGGUAGUGAAAAUGUUUUGUGUCAUUUGGUUAUUUAUUGCCCUGAGAUGGUUGUUCCCCCCAACAAAGCCACUGACGGUUUGGGAAGCAAUGUUCCCCCUGUGAGGACACUGCAACCAACAAUUCAAAAUGGAUUUUCGCUGUUAUUUUCUUAAGACGAGGGUUACAGCAUUUCCUGGGUGCAUAGACAUGCAGCCUCAUCCAAAAUAAUUAUGCACUUUUUAUAGAACUUCUGCAAGUUCACACCAGUGUGGUCCUUUCCAGUGCAGUCAACAAAAGUAGAACCUGCAGUUUUUCUUGUCUGAAACAAAUGCACAUUAUCCUGAAUGAAGAUAAAACGUGUGUCAAAACAGAAAAAAAACGAAUAAAAAAACCCACACUGGAACAAAUUGAAAAUGCAUGUAAACGCACAUGCAAAAAACUAUUUCAGAAAUUGUUAUGUAAACCAGUGUUAAGUGAACAUUUUGAGGGUUGGAAUCGUCUGACCUCAUGUCUAUGGCUAGACUUAAGCUGACCAUGCAUGAUUCAGCAUGUUGAAUGAAAAAAAAUAACCAUUUCCUCCAUCCACACACUUGUUGUGGAUGGGGGAAUCCUUCCUGCUAUGGAAUUGGCAGAGGCAUUGAUCGUUCAGGAAAAAUCCGACAGGCUGGUUGUUCAUAAGUGGACUGAUAGAAUUUGAAUCCAUGUAUGGCUAGCACUAUGUUGACUGUGCCCCUUAUAAAGUUGAUUCCAAGUCCAAUAGUGAAAGUAAGUCUGUCAUGAGAGAAAUAUGGGGGCUUCCUUCCUGUUGACAUUGGCCCAGAACAGGUUUGGACACCAGUAACGUCAUAAGUCCUUAUCGAUCUACUUGUGUCAGGUUAGGGAUUGAGAAUUAAAAAGCAAAAUUGCACCCAUGGAACUUUAAAUGAGAUGAGCAUGAGGAGACCAAUAAGAGUAUUUAGAAUACACAUGGUUAAUAGAUUUAUUGAGGUAAAAACAUUUAUCGUAUGUAAAAUUCAUGGCCAUGGAUGCCAAACCGCUUGGGGUCAACAUUCUAACAAAAAUGCUAGGAAACUUACACAUAAGUUACAACUGUUGGUAUAAAAUAAUACACAGAUGUCGUAUAACUGGGCGCAUUUCGCAAGCCACUGCUCGCUUCUGCAGGACUAGAUGUUUAUGCAGUGUAUCUACAGAAUGAGAUGUUAAUUAGAAAUAUAUAGCUUGAUCCCUGGGGAUGUUUGCAUCAGAGGAUAAGAUUACCUAUGAAACAAUAUCAGAAAAGUCUAUUACCCCACCUGUUAACUGCUGCUAAAAGCCUGAUAGCCAGUCACUGGCAAGAAAGGGAAAGCCCCUCCAUUAAAGAAUGGUGUAAUAAAAUGAAUUCCAUUCAAAAUUUAGAAUUCCUAAGGUUAAGUGACUCAGACAGUUUAGAGGAAUUUGAAAAGACCUGGUCUAAGUGGACAGAGUUUAAAAAUUCCAUGACAUUUGCGGAGCUAAUGGGUGCAUAGGGCAUAGUACUUGGUAAGACUUUUUCAGAUUUUUAAGGAGGGAUCCAAUAUAAGAAAGUAUUAAAAU